CGUGACCGCGCGUGACGUCAGGGCGGCCGCGAAGCGGCCGAACUCAAGUUGGUGCGGGGUUGUCAACAAAGGGGCGCGGGCGGCGUCGGCCGAGCGCGUCCUCGGACCCUGCGCCCCCUGCGUCGGACGCCCGCUCUCCGCCCCGACGCGGGCGGGCCGAGGAUGGCGAGGAGCACUCGGGUUCGGGGCAAACUCGAAGGCCUCGUGUUUACCGUUUCGCGUCCAAGGGCGCGGGCGGUGCGGGCCCCUCGCCUCGGCCACCGGGCCCCGCCGCGUCUCCGCGGUUCCCAGACGGCUGCGGUUCCCGCGUGGCCGCCGCAGCAUCAGCUGGGACCCGCAGGUCAGAAAAUAGCUAUCGAUUAAUCUAUUAGAACAGUUGCCGCGAGAGAUAAAAGCGACGUGAAAGAGCCGGGAGCCUAUAAAUAAGGCAGCGGUGGCUGCAGCCUGGAGUUGCUGAGCGACUUAGCAUAUGAAAAAGUCGGAAAUGGGCCGGAGCGGCCCGGCAGGGUGAGUCGCGCUCCGUGGGAGAGGCCCGAACACUGGCGGGGGCGGCGGGCGGCGGAGCGGCGGCCGUGCGGAGCCGGGGUCCCCUGGCUGCUCCCCGGCGCGGCUCCUGUCAGCGCAGGGGACCCCGAGACCCAACUCUGAGGCCGGGCACGUGCGUCCGGAAAGGCGGCGGGGACGUGGCCGGAGCCUCGGGCGUGGCAGCGACGGCCCGCCGGCUCCAACCCGUCUUGACCGCCUCCCGAGAAACCCACGCGAGCUCCGAGCCGGCCGCCCGCCGACCCGGCUGAGGGGUCCCGGUUGCCUGAACCGCCAGCCCCACGGAAGGUCGGAAGGAAAAGGAAAGACAGCCGAAAUUAGCACAUCUGGAAACUUUGUUUAGUUUGGGGUGACCACCCGCAGCAGGCCCGGCCCGCUUAGCAGGAUCCGCGUGUGUGCGUGCACGCGUGUGGGUGCGUGUGCGGGUGGCGGCCACGCCGGUCGCUUUGAAACCCUUCCGGCCGAGCUCGCCUGGGUCCCUGGGUCUGCGCCCUGUUCCGAGCCUCCCCGGAGCGGGGUGGCGCCCAGCGCCCAGCUGCCGGUUCCAUUUGUUGAGCUUUUCUCCUUCGACACAAUAAAAGUCAAAUUAAUUGAUUCAUACCAUUAA